rnacentral:rRNA from 1 species
ACGCUGGCGGCAGGCCUAACACAUGCAAGUCGAGCGGAAACGACACUAACAAUCCUUCGGGUGCGUUAAUGGGCGUCGAGCGGCGGACGGGUGAGUAAUGCCUAGGAAAUUGCCUUGAUGUGGGGGAUAACCAUUGGAAACGAUGGCUAAUACCGCAUAAUGCCUACGGGCCAAAGAGGGGGACCUUCGGGCCUCUCGCGUCAAGAUAUGCCUAGGUGGGAUUAGCUAGUUGGUGAGGUAAUGGCUCACCAAGGCGACGAUCCCUAGCUGGUCUGAGAGGAUGAUCAGCCACACUGGAACUGAGACACGGUCCAGACUCCUACGGGAGGCAGCAGUGGGGAAUAUUGCACAAUGGGCGAAAGCCUGAUGCAGCCAUGCCGCGUGUAUGAAGAAGGCCUUCGGGUUGUAAAGUACUUUCAGUUGUGAGGAAGGGGGUAUAGUUAAUAGCKGCAUCUCUUGACGUUAGCAACAGAAGAAGCACCGGCUAACUCCGUGCCAGCAGCCGCGGUAAUACGGAGGGUGCGAGCGUUAAUCGGAAUUACUGGGCGUAAAGCGCAUGCAGGUGGUUCAUUAAGUCAGAUGUGAAAGCCCGGGGCUCAACCUCGGAACUGCAUUUGAAACUGGUGAACUAGAGUACUGUAGAGGGGGGUAGAAUUUCAGGUGUAGCGGUGAAAUGCGUAGAGAUCUGAAGGAAUACCAGUGGCGAAGGCGGCCCCCUGGACA